rnacentral:misc_RNA from 1 species
CCAGAGUUGAAAAACUCCCUAAAACACUUGUGAACCUACCCGUAUCGUUGCUUCGGCGGGCGGCCCCAGGGGGGGCCUUUGCCCCUCGCGGGCGCCCGCCGGAGGUACCAAACACUAUGUCUACUGUCUGCUUCUCUGAGAAACAUACAAACAAGUCA